rnacentral:rRNA from 1 species
GGCAAUUGAAGCGGGAAAAGCUCAAAUUUGAAAGCUUUUUUUUUUAAAAGCGUUGUAAUCUCGAGAAAUGUUUUCCGGGCUGGACCAUGGACAAGUUCCUUGGAAUAGGAUGUCAUAGAGGGCGAGCACCCCUGUCUUUGCCAUGGACGCCCAGUGCUUUGUGAUACAUUUUCGAAGAGUCGAGUUGUUUGGGAAUGCAGCUCAAAAUGGGUGGUAAAUUCCAUCUAAAGCUAAAUAUUGGGGAGAGACCGAUAGCAAACAAGUACCGUGAGGGAAAGAUGAAAAGCACUUUGGAAAGAGAGUUAAACAGUACGUGAAAUUGUCAAAAGGGAAGCGCUUCAAGUCAGAUGUGUAGUAUGGUAUUCAGCCUUUUUGGGCGUUUUUAUCAAAUUACUAGCCAGCAUCGAUUUUGGUCUACGGAUAAGGGUGUGAGGAACGUAGCACCUUCGGGUGUGUUAUAGCCUUACACUGGAUACGUCGACCGGGAUCGAGGAACGCAGUGCACCCGCAAGGGCAGGUCUUUGGACACUUUUGCACUUAGGAUGCUGGCGUAAUGGCUUGAAGCGGCCCGUCUUGAAACACGG